rnacentral:lncRNA from 1 species
GCAGUUCCCCAGGAAACAGCUUCCGGCAGACACUCAAUCUCCAGUUGUAACAGGUGGUGUGGAGUCCGCUGUCCCAGGGAGUGGGCUCAAGGCCUAGUCCUGCCAAUGAACUUGCUGUAGAAACUUUUCUGUCUAUCAAAUGAGGUUGGAAUGCACUGGUGCAAUAAUUGCUCACUGCAGCCAUGACCUCCCAUGCUCAAGCAAUCCUCCCACCUCAGCCUCCCACGUAGCUGGGACUACAGGCAUCUUGGAGAGAGGUAUCACCUCAGAGCUGGAGAAAUG